rnacentral:misc_RNA from 1 species
UGGUUCUGGCAUCGAUGAAGAACGCAGCGAAAUGCGAUAAGUAGUGUGAAUUGCAGAAUUCCGUGAAUCAUCGAAUCUUUGAACGCACAUUGCGCCUAUUGGCAUUCCAAUAGGCAUGCCUGUUCGAGCGUCAUUUAAAUCUUCAAGCCCUGCUUGGUGUUGGGCGCUGUCUCGGUGACUCUUUUUGGGUUGUUUCCGCAGACUCGCCUUGAAUAAAUUGGCAGCCAGCAAUUGGGUGUUGGAGCGCAGCACAAUUUGCGUUCUCAGCCUCAGUCGCUUUGGUGUCCACGAAGCUUAUUUUAACGUUUGACCUCGGAUCAGGUAGGGAUACCCGCUGA